GAAGAAAGUUGAAAACCUGUAACCAUUAACUUCCAUAGUAUUUGUAUUUUAGAAAAUUAAAAUCAAUGGUUACCAGUUUUCAGCUUUCUUC
rnacentral:miRNA from 1 species